GUCCUUUUGAAUUUAAUUUAAGGUCUAGCCUGCCCACUGAGGUUUUAAAUGGCUGCGGUACUCUGACCGUGCUAAGGUAGCAUAAUAAUUAGUUUUUUAAUUGAAAGCUGGAAUGAAAGGCUGGACGAGAAAAAAUCUGUCUCUGAUUAAUUUGUUUAGAAUUUUAUUUUUAAGUAAGAAAGCUUAAAUUCUUUAAAAAGACGAGAAGACCCUAUAGAGUUUAAUAAAAUUAAUUUUUUUAAAGUUUAAAGAAUUUAGAUGUUAAUUUAAUUCUUUUAUUUGGUUGGGGUGACUGAAAAAUUAAAUAAACUUUUUCUUUAUUAAAACAUUGAUUAAUGAAUUAUUGAUCCAUUUCUUGAUUAAAAGAUAAAAUUACCUUAGGGAUAACAGCGUAAUUCUUCUAGAGAGUUCUAAUCGAAAGAAGAGUUUGCGACCUCGAUGUUGGAUUAAAAUUAAUUUUUGGUGCAGAAGCUAAAAGUUUAGGUCUGUUCGACCUUUAAAAUUU
rnacentral:rRNA from 1 species